UAGAAAGUUUGGCUGGGGCGGCACACCUUCGAAAGAGCAGCGAAGGUGUCCUAAGUUGAGCUCAGUGAGGACAGAAAUCUCACGUUGAGGAUAAGGCCAAAAGCUCAAUUUACUGUGCCUUUUUGUACUAGGAUCAGUUACGAAAGUAAGGCCUAACGAUCCCUAAAUAGCCUCAGGUGCGUGAGGAUUGGGGUGACAGACAAGUUACCUCCGGGACAACUGGCUUGUGGCUGCUAAGAGAUCAAAUCAACGCAGCUUUUUGAUUCUUCGAUGUCGGCUCUUCCUAUCCUAGUGAUGUACAAGUUGCUAAGGGUCGGAUUGUUCACCCGUAUUAGGGAUCGUGAGCUGGGUUUAGACCGUCGUGAGCCAGGUUUGUUUUAUCCUACUGGAUAUAGCAUCAUGAUAGUAGAUUGAUUUAGUACGAGAGGAACUGUUGAUUAUGGCCUCUGGUUAGCGAUUAUCGGAAACGGUAUGUCGCGCAGCUACGCCGUCUGGGAUAAUGGCUGAAAGCCUCUUAAGCCAGAAGCCCAUCUAGAAAGUGAUGCACGUGAUGUUGGACCGAUACGAAUAAUCAUACUCAAAAGGUCCGCUUCAUAGGUAACCCAAUGUAGAAGACAUUGUGUGAACGAAGGUACUGUAAGCAGUGGAGUGGCAUUACGUCCACGACCUGUUGAGGUUCAGCUUCGCUUCUAGGUUUCC
rnacentral:ncRNA from 1 species